UACAGAGGGUGCGAGCGUUAAUCGGAAUUACUGGGCGUAAAGCGUGCGCAGGCGGUUGCGUAAGUCAGAUGUGAAAGCCCCGGGCUCAACCUGGGAAUUGCAUUUGAGACUGCGUAGCUAGGGUGCGGAAGAGGGAAGCGGAAUUUCCGGUGUAGCGGUGAAAUGCGUAGAUAUCGGAAGGAACACCAGUGGCGAAAGCGGCUUCCUGGUCCAGCACCGACGUUCAGGCACGAAAGCGUGGGGAGCAAACAGG
rnacentral:rRNA from 1 species